rnacentral:rRNA from 1 species
UGGGGAAUAUUGGACAAUGGGCGCAAGCCUGAUCCAGCCAUGCCGCGUGAGUGAUGAAGGCCCUAGGGUUGUAAAGCUCUUUCACCGGUGAAGAUAAUGACGGUAACCGGUGAAGAAGCCUCGGCUAACUUCGUGCCAGCAGCUGCGGUAAUACGAAGGGGGCUAGCGUUGUUCGGAUUUACUGGGCGUAAAGCGCACGUAGGCGGACUUUUAAGUCAGGGGUGAAAUCCCGGGGCUCAACCCCGGAACUGCCUUUGAUACUGGAAGUCUUGAGUAUGGUAGAGGUGAGUGGAAUUCCGAGUGUAGAGGUGAAAUUCGUAGAUAUUCGGAGGAACACCAGUGGCGAAGGCGGCUCACUGGACCAUUACUGACGCUGAGGUGCGAAAGCGUGGGGAGCAAACAGG